AGGGAUCCCUUUUUUUUUGACAUAUAUGAGGGAUCAAGUAUUAUACCAACUUUUCAAUCACAUUUUUCAAUCUUAACCGUUCAAUAUUUAGAUGUAUAUAUGUAGAUCAUUUCUACAAAAUUUCAUCCCAUUUGGUGAUCGUUAAGGCUUCGAACUAACUGAAAUCAAUUGAUGGAUCAAAUCUGCCAAACCUGAACCGUUCAUGCCUAUAAUUUUAAUUCGCAGUUUUGAACACCUUAACGAUCACCAAUUUGAAUGAAAUUUUGCAAAAGUGAUCUACAUAUUAGGACCUAAAAACUGAAUGGUUAAGAUUGAAAAAUGUGAUUGAAAAGUAGGUCUAAUGCUUGAUCCCUCAUAUAUGUCAAAAAAAGGGAUCCCUUAGUAGAAGGGCCCUAUAUAUAUAUAUAUAUAUAUAUAUAUAUAUAUAUAUAUAUNNNNNNNNNNNNNNNNNNNNCCAAAACGACAAGCAUAUAUGAUCCAACAUGUAACAGAUAUUUGAGAGCUCGAUCAAUUAUGCCUAGCUAGCUAGCUACCUGCCCACAAAGGAUCACGAUCAAAUAACAGAAGACAGAUCAAAUUAUAUAUAUAAUAUAUAUAUAUAUACACACAGGGCCCUUCUACUAAAGGAUCCCUUUUUUUUGACAUAUAUGAGGGAUCAAGUAUUAUACCAACUUUUCAAUCACAUUUUUUCAAUCUUAACCGUUCAAUAUUUAGAUGUAUAUAUGUAGAUCAUUUCUGUAAAAUUUCAUCCCAUUUGGUGAUCGUUAAGGCUUCGAACUAACUGAAAUCAAUUGAUGGAUCAAAUCUGCCAAACCUGAACCGUUCAUGCCUAUAAUUUUAAUUCGCAGUUUUGAACACCUUAACGAUCACCAAUUUGAAUGAAAUUUUGCAAAAGUGAUCUACAUAUUAGGACCUAAAAACUGAAUGGUUAAGAUUGAAAAAUGUGAUUGAAAAGUAGGUCUAAUGCUUGAUCCCUCGUAUAUGUCAAAAAAAAGGAUCCCUUAAUAGAAGGGCCCUAUAUAUAUAUAUUUAUAUAUUAUGUAUAACUAUUAUUCCCUAUCUCAAUCAGGUUCCGUGAU
rnacentral:lncRNA from 1 species